UACGUAGGGGGGCUAGCGUUGCUCGGAAUGACUGGGCGUAAAGGGCGCGUAGGCGGUUUGCACAGUCAGGCGUGAAAUUCCUGGGCUUAACCUGGGGGGCUGCGCUUGAUACGUGUGGACUGGAGUGCGGAAGAGGGUCGUGGAAUUCCCAGUGUAGAGGUGAAAUUCGUAGAUAUCGGGAGGAACACCGGUGGCGAAGGCGGUUCUCUGGGCCUGUUCUGACGCUGAGGAGCGAAAGCGUGGGGAGCGAACAGGGAUUGAGA
rnacentral:rRNA from 1 species